rnacentral:miRNA from 1 species
AUAUGAAUCAUCCUGGGAUCUUGUUAAAUGUAGAUUCUGAUUCAGUAGGUCUAGGGUAUCAGGUAGUCUACAUUUUUAACAAGCUCCCAGUUGAAAUUGAU